AGUCGAGCGAACAGAAAAGGAGCUUGCUCCUUUGACGUUAGCGGCGGACGGGUGAGUAACACGUGGGCAACCUACCCUAUAGUUUGGGAUAACUCCGGGAAACCGGGGCUAAUACCGAAUAAUCUCUUUUGCUUCAUGGUGAAAGACUGAAAGACGGUUUCGGCUGUCGCUAUAGGAUGGGCCCGCGGCGCAUUAGCUAGUUGGUGAGGUAACGGCUCACCAAGGCGACGAUGCGUAGCCGACCUGAGAGGGUGAUCGGCCACACUGGGACUGAGACACGGCCCAGACUCCUACGGGAGGCAGCAGUAGGGAAUCUUCCACAAUGGGCGAAAGCCUGAUGGAGCAACGCCGCGUGAGUGAAGAAGGUUUUCGGAUCGUAAAACUCUGUUGUAAGGGAAGAACAAGUACAGUAGUAACUGGCUGUACCUUGACGGUACCUUAUUAGAAAGCCACGGCUAACUACGUGCCAGCAGCCGCGGUAAUACGUAGGUGGCAAGCGUUGUCCGGAAUUAUUGGGCGUAAAGCGCGCGCAGGCGGUCCUUUAAGUCUGAUGUGAAAGCCCACGGCUCAACCGUGGAGGG
rnacentral:rRNA from 1 species